rnacentral:rRNA from 1 species
AUUGAACGCUGGCGGCAGGCCUAACACAUGCAAGUCGAGCGAGCGGCGGACGGGUGAGUAAUGCCUGGGAAUUGCCCUGUAGAGGGGUAUCACAGUUGGACACGACCGCUUAUCCCGCAUACGCUUAGAUUGCCCAGGUGGGAUUGGCUAGUUGGUGAGGUAAUGGCUCACCAAGGCGACGAUCCCUAGCUGGUCUGAGAGGAUGACCAGCCACACUGGAACUGAGAUACGGUCCAGACUCCUACGGGAGGCAGAAGUGGGGAAUAUUGCACAAUGGGCGAAACCCUGAUGCAGCCAUGCCGCGUGUGUGAAGAAGGCCGUCGGGUUGUAAAGCACUUUCAGCGAGGAGGCGUUACUCGCAGAAGAAGCACCGGCUAACUCCGUGCCAGCAGCCGCGGUAAUAC